rnacentral:ncRNA from 1 species
CAUGGAAAAAGGCAAAACUAGUGAAAACUAGUGACGCAAAACUACAGGGACUUCAGUCUGUGUUUUAAGCACGGACCAGUUAGCCAGUUACCCGC